UACGUAGGGGGCAAGCGUUGUCCGGAAUCAUUGGGCGUAAAGAGCGCGUAGGCGGCCCUGUAAGUCCGCUGUGAAAGUCAAGGGCUCAACCCUUGAAUGCCGGUGGAUACUGCAGGGCUAGAGUCCGGAAGAGGCGAGUGGAAUUCCUGGUGUAGCGGUGAAAUGCGCAGAUAUCAGGAGGAACACCGAUGGCGAAGGCAGCUCGCUGGGACGGUACUGACGCUGAGGCGCGAAGCGUGGGAGC
rnacentral:rRNA from 1 species